rnacentral:rRNA from 1 species
GACGAACGCUGGCGGCGUGCCUAAUACAUGCAAGUUGAGCGCUGAAGGUUGGUACUUGUACCCACUGGAUGAGCAGCGAACGGGUGAGUAACGCGUGGGGCAUCUGCCUUUGAUCGGGGGACAACAUUUGGAAACGAAUGCUAAUACCGCAUAAAAACUUUAAACACAAGUUUUAAGUUUGAAAGAUGCAAUUGCAUCAUUCAAAGAUGAUCCCGCGUUGUAUUAGCUUGUUGGUGAGGUAAAGGCUCACCAAGGCGAUGAUACGUAGCCGGCCUGAAUGGGUGGGCGGCCAACUUGGGACUGAGACACGGCCCAAACUCCUACGGGAGGCAGCAGGAGGGAAACUUCGGCAAGGGGCGAAAGUCUGGCCGAGAAACGCCGCGGGAGGGAAGAAGGGUUUCGGAUCGUAAAACUCGGUUGGUAGGGAAGAACGUGGGUGAGAGUGGAAAGCUCAUCAAGUGACGGUAACUACCCAGAAAGGAACGGCUAACUACGUG